UUCACCUUGUUUUUCAAAAACAUGUCUUAAAGAAAUUAUAAUUUUAAGUCUAAUCUGCUCAAUGAAUUUUUAAUUUUAAAUAGCUGCAGUAACAAUAACUGUACUAAGGUAGCAUAAUAAUUUGUUUUUUAAUUUAAAACUUGUAUAAAUGAUUAAAUGAAAUAUAAACUGUCUCAAAAUAAAUUAAUAAAAUUAUUUUUUAAGUAAAAAAACUUAAAUAAAUUUUAAAGACGAGAAGACCCUAAAGAAUUUAUAUAUUUAAAUUUAUUAUAUAAUUUAUCAACUUAUAAAAUUAAUUUUUAAAUAAUUUAAUUGGGGAAAUUUUAAAAUUUAACUAAUUUUUAAUUAAAUUUAAAACAAUUAUUAUUGAAUUUAUAAUUUUUUUUUAAAAAAAUAAAUUAAAUUACCUUAGGGAUAACAGCAUAAUUUUUUUAAAAAGUUCAAAUUUAUAUUAAAGUUUAUGACCUCGAGUUUGAAUAAGA
rnacentral:rRNA from 1 species